rnacentral:tRNA from 1 species
GCAGGACGUAGCUCAUGGAGAGCGUCGGGCUUGAACACCCGAAGGCAUCGGUUCGAUUCCGGUCUCUUGCACAA